rnacentral:rRNA from 1 species
GACGGAGGGUGCUAGCGUUGUUCGGAAUCACUGGGCGUAAAGGGCGCGUAGGCGGUGUGUCAAGUCAGGCGUGAAAGCCCCGGGCUCAACCUGGGAACAGCGCUUGAGACUGGCACGCUCGAGUUCGGGAGAGGAUGGUGGAAUUCCCAGUGUAGAGGUGAAAUUCGUAGAUAUUGGGAAGAACACCGAUGGCGAAGGCAGCCAUCUGGACCGACACUGACGCUGAGGCGCGAAAGCGUGGGGAGCAAACAGG